UCCCUGGUGGUCCAGUGGUUAGGACUCUGCAGUCUCAUUGCUGAGGGCCGGGGUUCAAUCCCUGGUCAGGGAA
rnacentral:tRNA from 1 species